rnacentral:tRNA from 1 species
GGCGAGAUAGCUCAGUUGGCUAGAGCACACGGUUCAUACCCGUGGUGUCGAGGGUUC